UAUUUACCUAAUUGUUUAUUUAUUUUGUAUCUUAAUUUUUCACAAUAUUAAGUACACCUUUUGUAUACGUCAGCUUAUGAAGUUACCUACGUUACUAUCAUUUAGACAAUUCUAUUCCAAUUUCAAAUAAUCUCAUCAUUAAAAGGUAGUGUGUCUGGAGUCUGGAACGCAGCGGAAUAGCUCCACCAGGGCAAAACAUCUUGGAUUUCCGAGAGAUCUCGCCGAGAUCCUACUCAACAUCAAAGGUUUGAUAGGAUUCCUUGAGGAGUUGGGAUGGCAGAACUAGCCUACCCCGUCCUGUUACGCAAAAUACUCAUACUCAUACUCAUACUCAUUUAUUCAUAAAGUUAGUUUACAUGUCAAAAUAAAACUAGAUUAAAGUUAAAACUAACUUAAAAAUAAAAUUACAAUAAAAAUUAAAACAAAGCCUAUUUACAUUUAAAAUUAAGAUCAGAAAUUAGACUCAGUAUCAAAAUAUACAUUAAAAUCAAUUAGUAACAGGAUAAUCAAUAAGUAAAAUUAAAAACAAAGCCAAUUUAUAUGUCAAAAAAAUAAAAAAAGUAAUAUAAAAUUAGAAUUACAAUUAUAAUAAAUUAAAAUUGGGAUAAGAAAUUCAAAUAACAUUAGAAUCAAAAAUAAAAAUAAAAAUAAAAAAUAAAAAUAAAAUUUAAUUAAAAUAGGCGCUAUAGUUCGUUCGCGAUGCAGUAAAAUAAUCACUAUCUGCCGGCCUAGCGGUAUUCGUAACCAUUCAAAUCUUUACCAAUUGACAACAUUUCAUUUUUAUAACACCUGAAACUUUACAUAUGAUUUCGAAGAAUUUUGCUUCUUGAAUAAAAGUAGUAAAUUUACCAAUUCUACUACACAAUAGGUUUGACGACCGGUUUGGCCUAGUGGGUAGUGACCCUGCCUACAAAGCUAAUGGUCCCGGGUUCAAAUCCUGGUAAGGGCAUGUAUUUGUGUGAUGAACAUGGAUAUUUGUUCCUAAGUCAUGGGUGUUAUCUAUGUAUUUAAGUAUUUAUAAAUAUUUAUAUAUUAUAUAUAUCGUUGUCUAAGUACCCUCAACACAAGCCUUAUUGAGCUUACUGUGGGACUUAGUCAAUUUGUGUAAUAAUGUCCUAUAAAAAAAAUAAGGUGAAAUGACAUUGCCAUUCACCACAAGAAAAAAAAUAGCUGUCAUAAUAUUGGAUUUGACAUUGUCAAUUAAAUACGACGUAUUGAUUGACAUUCAAAACAAAAAUGUAUUUACAUAAUUAAGUUACUAUCUACUAAUCGUUUUUAAAAUAGACAAAACCGUGUAUGGAUCGAUGAGGAGUCUUAUCGCGUAUCUGUUGCUACCUGGUGGGGAUGGUGGUUUCUGUUGUGGAUAAAUCGACGAAAGGACAGAAUGUAAUUCUACAAAUUCAUUAAAUUCAUUGCAUUAUACGCUCAUGAAU